GGAUCCCGACUUUCGUUGUGGAUUAAUGAAAAUGUUUUUGGCAAAUGCUUUCGCUUUCGUCCGUCUUGCGCGGGUCCAAGAAUUUCACCUCUAGCAACACAAUACGAAAGCCCCCCCGCC